rnacentral:rRNA from 1 species
UUGAAUUUUAAUUUAAAGUCUAGCCUGCCCACUGAAAUUAAUUUUAAUGGCCGCAGUAUUUUGACUGUGCAAAGGUAGCAUAAUCAUUAGUUUUUUAAUUGAAAGCUUGUAUGAAAGGUUGGACGAGGUAAAAUCUGUCUCUAUUUAAUUUAUUUUAGAAUUUAAUUUUUAAGUUAAAAAGCUUAAAUUUUAUUAAAAGACGAGAAGACCCUAUAGAUCUUUAUAAUUUUUGUUAUAAAUUUAAUUAUGAAUUAUUUAGAAUUUAUAAUAUAAAUUAUUUUAUUGGGGUAAUAAAAAGAUUAAAAUAAUUCUUUUUUAUUUUUAACAUUAAUUUAUGAAUUUAAUGAUCCAAUUUUAUUGAUUAUAAGAUUAAGUUACCUUAGGGAUAACAGCGUAAUUUUUUUAGAGAGUUCAUAUCGAUAAAAAAGUUUGCGACCUCGAUGUUGGAUUAAAGAUUAGUUUAGGUGUAGAAGUUUAAAUUUUUGGUCUGUUCGACCAUUAAAUCUUUACAUGAUCUGAGUUCAGACCGGCGUAAGCCAGGUCGGUUUCUAUCUUUAAUAAUUUUAAAAUAUUUUAGUACGAAAGGACCAAAUAUUUAAUAUAUUUAUAUUUUAUUUUUUGAAUAUUAUUAAAUUGUUUUGGCAGAUUAGUGUAAUGAAUUUAGAAUUCAUAAAUGUAAUUAUUUUUACAAACAAUACUUGUUUUAUAUAGAUUUAAUUUUUUCUUUUAUUUGUAUAUUUUUAUUAAUUAUUUGUGUUUUAGUUGGGGUAGC